CUAAAAAUCUAGCCCUCCCCAUCCCACCCCUAAUCAAAACCCAAAACAAAAUAUUUUAUCUGUUUAGUAAAGAAGAUUAAAAAACUUUUAAGAGCUAUAUUCUAGUACCGCAAGGGAAAAAUGAAAUAAAAUGAAAAUCUAAAGCAUAAAAUAGUAGAGACUUAACCUCGUACCUUUUGCAUCAUGGUUUAGCUAGUCUAACCAGGCAAAAUGGACCUUUUAAGUCUGACUUCCCGAAACUAAGUGAGCUAUUUUAGGGCCGCUAAACGAGCCAACCCUUCUAUGUUGCAAAAUAGUGGGAAGACCCUAAAAUAGAGGUGAUAAGCCUAACGAACUUAGUUAUAGCUGGUUUCUCAAAAAAAGAAUUUUAGUCCAACCUAAAGCAAUGUAGAUUCAAAUAAAUUUCACCUACCCUUUAGAGCAAUUCAAAUAAGGUACAGCCUAUUUGAUACAGGAUUCAACCUUCACCCACGGGUAAUAUUUUAUUAUAUUUACAAGUAGGCCUAAUAGCAGCCACCUUUUAAAAAGCGUCAAAGCUUUAACACUUUAAAUCUAACUCCACACAUACACCCCUCAAACCCUACUGAGAGCUUCUAUAAACUUAUAGAAAUUUUUAUGCUAAAACUAGUAACAAGAGUUUAAUACCCUCUCUUUAAUGUACAUAUAUGUCAGAAAAAUUCCUUCUGACAAUUAACAAACCUAAAUCACAGUAGUAACUUUCCCAGGAAAAUCCUACUAUCAUAAUUGUUAACCUAACACAAGCACAUUUCAAGAAAGACCAAAAGAAAGAGAAGGAACUCGGCAAACAUUAAUCCCGCCUGUUUACCAAAAACAUCGCCUCUUGAACCCAUAAGAGGUCCCGCCUGCCCAGUGACUCUGUUCAACGGCCACGGUAUCCUAACCGCGCAAAGGUAGCGUAAUCACUUGUCUUCUAAAUAAAGACUAGUAUGAAAGGCAUCACGAGGAUUAAACUGUCUCCUCUCCCUAUUCAGUGAACCUAUUCUCCCCGUGAAGAAACGGGGAUGUAAAAAUAAGACGAGAAGACCCUAUGGAGCUUUAAACAUCAUAACACCUGCUUUAAUUCCCUCACCCAGGUUACUCCCCAUAGCACAGUGAUUAUAUGUUUUUGGUUGGGGCGACCGCGGAGUAAAAACAACCCUCCGCGAUGAAAACUUCCCUAAACAAUAAGCCACAACUUUAUGUAUUAACAAAUUAACAUUCAUUGACCCAAUUUAUUGAUUAACGAACCAAGUUACCCUAGGGAUAACAGCGCAAUCCACUUCGAGAGCCCAUAUCGACAAGUGGGCUUACGACCUCGAUGUUGGAUCGGGAUACCCAAGUGGUGCAGCCGCUACUAAAGGUUCGUUUGUUCAACGAUUAAAACCCCACGUGAUCUGAGUUCAGACCGGAGUAAUCCAGGUCAGUUUCUAUCUAUUAUACAGCUUCUUUUAGUACGAAAGGACCCAAAAAGCAUGGUCAAUACCCAAAGCAAACCAUAAUUCUUAAUUUUAGACCUCAACUCAAAAAAUUAUUAACUUACUCUCUCCAUCAAGAAAAGAAUA
rnacentral:rRNA from 1 species